rnacentral:rRNA from 1 species
UCGGGAAUAUUGGACAAUGGGCGAAAGCCUGAUCCAGCAAUGCCGCGUGAGUGAUGAAGGCCUUAGGGUUGUAAAGCUCUUUUACCAGGGAUGAUAAUGACAGUACCUGGAGAAUAAGCUCCGGCUAACUCCGUGCCAGCAGCCGCGGUAAUACGAAGGGGGCUAGCGUUGUUCGGAAUUACUGGGCGUAAAGCGCACGUAGGCGGAUUGUUAAGUCAGAGGUGAAAUCCCGGAGCUCAACUUCGGAACUGCCUUUGAUACUGGCUGUCUCGAGGUCGAGAGAGGUUGGUGGAAUUCCUAGUGUAGAGGUGAAAUUCGUAGAUAUUAGGAAGAACACCAGUGGCGAAGGCGGCCAACUGGCUCGAUACUGACGCUGAGGUGCGAAAGCGUGGGGAGCAAACAGGAUUAGAUACCCCAGUAGUCCCUGAGCGGGCUGGCAAGGCGCAU